rnacentral:tRNA from 1 species
GCCUUCGUGGUGUAGUGGUCAGCACACUUGACAUGCACUCAAGAGGUCCGUGGUUCGAGUCCCGGUGAGAGCA